rnacentral:lncRNA from 1 species
ACUUUUACAGCGUAGGACGAGAGAAUAAGCAUAAAGAAGAACCUCUCUCACUCACCACAGUUAAAUCAAAAUUAUCUUAUGACAUAAAUAUACAACCAUAUGCAGGUUCCAACAUGAUUUUUUUUAUUUAUAUAAUACAUAUUUCCUUUUCUAGGUGUUGAGUAAAGUUGAAAAAAAAUAAAGUUAGUAAAUUGUGACAAAUCCUUUAACUAUGUCAUAAAUGAAAUUUAAUUCUGUAAUUACUAAGAAAUCAAAUACUGAAAUAAGAAGGAAAAACAAAUAAAAGGGAAUAGUCAGAGGAAUGUGGGCUUUGAGUUGGACCCAUUUUUGGACUAAUAAGAGUAUAUGAAAGUGAUGUCUCAUAAACUUUUUUUUUACUUCUUCUCUCAAGUGAAACUACACUUCUUCUCUCAUUCAUGUGAACCUGCGCUUCUUCUCCUUUGUUUUCUCAUUCAUUCAUUUUUACUUACCUCUUCUUUUUGUUUCCCUCGAAUAAAAAACAUAAUAUCAAAGAUGCUUGCUAUAUGGGGAAAAGUUUAAUUAUUAUUUUCAGAAAAGCAUCACGAGAUUGCUAUAUAGCUAAGUACACCUGGAUGUAAGAGUUUUUUUUACAGUAUUUUCUUUCUUUUUUUGAUGAUUGGAAAUUUGGGAGUAUGAGUUUAGUUUAUAUAUAUUUAAGUUUACUAUUUAUCAUUGUUAGUCAUUAUUAUAUAGUAAAAGUUAAAAAAAAAACAUCUAAAUCUAUAUAUUCGUUUUGUAGAUAUAUAUAAAAAAAACUCACAUGUCCACCAUGGCAGCUACCUCCUCUGGCUUCUCAACUGCAUGUUCAUGCCAUGUUUCAUUGGACCUGUUUUUUUUUUAACAAAACAUUUAUUAUUAUUAUUAUUAUACAAUCCAACAAAUUAUUGUCUCAUUUAUCACUUGCUAUAUAUAUUAAUAUAUCAAAAUUUAUUUACACACUGCUUUUUGUUUCCUUAUUUCUUUUCAAUUGAUCGAUAACUAUAGAAUUAGUAUGCAUGUCGCUAAUAUCAGGGAUGAUCAAAUUAUAUUUGAAAACUCAUCGAUCAAAACCAGCAAUACGGACCUCUUCAAGGUGUAUACAUACAGUAUAUAUUAAGGGGGGAAAUAAAUCAGGUUUCUGCAUUCUUGAUGAACGCUCACUAAUUCUUGGUGAACAGCAGAACAAGAACACGUAGAAUCAAAGCUACAUUGAGCUAGAAACUCUUUGAUGGAUCAUGGAUGUCAUACGUCUAACUAACCAAUGUAUAAAAUGAAGUGAGAAUCAUGAUGAUGAUACUAAAGUGAUU